GACGAACCAUGCAAACGUUAUUCGGAAUUACUGGGCUUAAAGCGUGCGUAGGCGGCUCAGAAAGUUGGGUGUGAAAGCCCUCGGCUCAACCGAGGAAUUGCGCCCAAAACUACUGGGCUUGAGGGAGUUAGAGGUGAGCGGAACUCACGGUGGAGCGGUGAAAUGCGUUGAUAUCGUGAGGAACACCGGAGGCGAAAGCGGCUCACUGGGGCUUAUCUGACGCUGAGGCACGAAAGCUAGGGGAGCAAACGGG
rnacentral:rRNA from 1 species